rnacentral:tRNA from 1 species
GGAGAGGUGGCAGAGCGGUCGAAUGCGGCGGCUUGCUAAGCCGUUUUGGGAGGUAACUCCCAACCAGGGUUCGAAUCCCUGCCUCUCCGCCA